UACGUAGGGGUCGAGCGUUGUCCGGAGUUACUGGGCGUAAAGCGUGCGCAGGCGGCUUGUUGCGCCCGGCGUGAAAGCCCCCGGCUCAACCGGGGGAGGGUCGUCGGGGGACGGGGCAAGCUUGAGGGUAUCAGGGGGCUGGUGGAAUUCCCGGUGUAGUGGUGAAAUGCGUAGAGAUCGGGAGGAACACCCGUGGCGAAGGCGGCCAGCUGGGAUCA
rnacentral:rRNA from 1 species